GCAAACUUGGUCAUUUAGAGGAAGUAAAAGUCGUAACAAGGUUUCCGUAGGUGAACCUGCGGAAGGAUCAUUACUGAAGCGCUUGGAGAUGUUGCUGGCUUCUUUCGGGAAGCAAUGUGCACUCUUCCAACUUUUCACAAUUUCCUUUACACCCCCUUGUGCACCUUUGGUAGGGCCCCUCACAGGCUUUUAAAUAGCCCUGAGGAGGGAGACUCUAUGUUUUUUUUGCUACACCCUUCACACUUGUCCCAAUGUAUGUUGUCAUUAUGAAAACAAAAAAGAAACAACUUUCAACAAUGGAUCUCUUGGCUCUCGCAUCGAUGAAGAACGCAGC
rnacentral:misc_RNA from 1 species